rnacentral:rRNA from 1 species
AAAUUGAAGAGUUUGAUCAUGGCUCAGAUUGAACGCUGGCGGCAGGCCUAACACAUGCAAGUCGAACGGUAACAGGAAACAGCUUGCUGUUUCGCUGACGAGUGGCGGACGGGUGAGUAAUGUCUGGGAAACUGCCUGAUGGAGGGGGAUAACUACUGGAAACGGUAGCUAAUACCGCAUAACGUCGCAAGACCAAAGAGGGGGACCUUCGGGCCUCUUGCCAUCGGAUGUGCCCAGAUGGGAUUAGCUUGUUGGUGGGGUAACGGCUCACCAAGGCGACGAUCCCUAGCUGGUCUGAGAGGAUGGCCAGCCACACUGGAACUGAGACACGGUCCAGACUCCUACGGGAGGCAGCAGUGGGGAAUAUUGCACAAUGGGCGCAAGCCUGAUGCAGCCAUGCCGCGUGUAUGAAGAAGGCCUUCGGGUUGUAAAGUACUUUCAGCGG